AUUGAACGCUGGCGGCAGGCCUAACACAUGCAAGUCGAGCGGGGUUUUCGGACCUAGCGGCGGACGGGUGAGUAAUGCGUAGGAAGCUACCCGAUAGAGGGGGAUACCAGUUGGAAACGACUGUUAAUACCGCAUAAUGUCUACGGACCAAAGUGUGGGACCUUCGGGCCACAUGCUAUCGGAUGCGCCUACGUGGGAUUAGCUAGUUGGUGAGGUAAUGGCUCACCAAGGCGACGAGCCCUAGCUGGUUUGAGAGGAUGAUCAGCCACACCGGAAAUGAGACGCGGUCGAGACUCCUACGGGAGGCAGCAGGCGAGAAUCUUUAGCGAUGGGAGCAAGCCUGACUAUGCGACGCCGCGUGAGGGAUGGAGGUUUUCGGAUCGUAAACCUCUUUCGAUGGAGAAGAAUCCCCUUUGUCAUAAUACGGCGAAGGGUUGACGGUAUCUAGAGAAGAAGCCACGGCCAACUCCGUGCCAGCCGCCGCGGUAAGAC
rnacentral:rRNA from 1 species